rnacentral:rRNA from 1 species
CCUACGGGUGGCAGCAGUGAGGAAUAUUGGUCAAUGGACGAAAGCCUGACGCAGCAACGCCGCGUGAACGAUACGCCCUUCGGGGUGUAAAGUUCUUUCAGUGGGGACGAAAAAUGACGUUACCCACAGAGGAAGCACCGGCUAACUCCGUGCCAGCAGCCGCGGUAAUACGGAGGGUGCAAGCGUUGUCCGGAAUCAUUGGGCGUAAAGAGUUCGUAGGCGGGAUGUAAAGUCAGGUGGUAAAGGCGCAGGCUCAACCUGUGUAUGGCCCUUGAUACUUGCAAGCUGGAAUGCGGUAGAGGUAAAGGGAAUUCCUGGUGUAGCGGUGAAAUGCUUAGAUAUCAGGAGGAACAUCGGUGGCGUAAGCGCUUUACUGGGCCGUAAUUGACGCUGAGGAACGAAAGCCAGGGUAGCAAAUGGGAUUAGAUACCCGUGUAGUC